GAUGUAGAGUUUAAAGUACCCAAAGCUCUUAAGCCCGAGAAAUAUGGUUCUCAGUUUAUGGAUGCCCUUGGCGGUUCCGCUUUCGACCAGCAGAAAAUGAUUGAAACAAGAAAGAAAUCGAUCUUGAGAGAACGUCUAACAUUGAAUGGCAUCCAGAGGCUUAAACGCACUUUAAAGGAUAUUUUGCACAAGUCUAUUGAGCACCGGUUAAGUGGAGCUGAAUGGAAUAACGUGAUGAUGGCGUUGUACUUCCAUCCUUGACGAGACGAGAAGAUCGGCUCUGGGGUUCUGGAAAUAAAGGUAGGUAAACACCAUGAACAUAAGGCUCGCUGCUUUCUUUUGGUAAAAAUAGAUGGGACAACCGAAGAUUUCUCAUACCAUAAAUGUUUUCUCGGCGCUCUCGAGAUCAUUCGCCCCCGUUAAGGCGAAAUCCUACAAGUUAAACCGGUCACAACCCUGUAAUUAACAUACAAACCCGAAUCGUAACUCAACAAGGACCUCUUGUAGCAUAAUAUAUGAAAGAUCCAGUGCAUAGAAAAAAUUGCCAUAAGG